CCUAGCCUCCCAAACCUUGCACGAGCUGACUGCGACUCCCGGCCUGCUGCACAGCAAAGUCACUCACCACCGCACCGCAGCCUUCCCCUGGAGGUUUCAUAGAUGUCGCGUUUGUGACUUAGUGACGAAGUGCACUUGGCUAGACUAAAGUGAGAGCAUAAUGCAAUGGAAAAUACACUGGAGAAAUUCUCAGAAGCUUCGAUUUUUCUACACACGUGGCUGGCAAUAAGGAUUCCCUCCCCCUUGAAUGUGGGCUCAACUUCAUAACUCAUGUCUAACAAAUAGAGAAUGGAACAGGAAAAGUAACUUUACAAUGUGGAGAUUUAACAGACAUCACCUUAACCAACUGAUCAAAGUCAACAGCAGAGUAAGAAGUUAUAUGAUAUCAUGUACAACCUGGUAGUGAGGCAAUGUGAAGGGCAUAUCACCUCCGUGUCAUUCUUCCCAAAAAUUCAUCCUCUGAGCAUAAUCAUAAGAAAACAGCAGACAAACCCAAACUGAGGCCCAUUGUACAAAACACUUGCCCAGUACUCUUCAAAUGUAUCAGUCAUAAGGAACAAGAAAAAAACUGAGAAACUGAUACAGAUCAGAAGAGACUACGGAGACAUUUCAACUAAAUUCACUCCAGUGUCUUGGUUUGAAUCCUAGGAUAGAAAAGUGGCAUAAAUGGGAAAAGUGUGGAAAUACAAAUAAAGUCUGCAGUUUGGUUAAAAGUUUUGUACUAGUAUUCAUUUCUUACCACGAUUGUAUAAGAUGUUAACAUGCAGAGAAGCUAAAUGAAGAGUAUAUAGAAACUUUCUUUUAAAUUAUUUCAAAUAAUUAUUAUUUCAAUUUUUUCAAAAAUAAGUUUAAAAAAACAGCUGCUCACAAACUACUAACCUGAUUUCCCAGCCCAGAAAUGCAUCUAGAUUUGCAGGUUGAAAAAUACUGAGUUAAUUCAAGCAAAAUAUUUAGAACAUUGUCUGGCACAUAGUAAGUGCUCAAUAAAUACUAGCUAGUACUAACGAGAC